rnacentral:rRNA from 1 species
GAUUUUCGCAAUGCCCGAAAGGGUGACGAAGCGACGCCGCGUGCGGGAAGAAGGCCUUCGGGUUGUAAACCGCUGUCGGGAGUUAAGAAAUGUAAGGAUGUUAAUAGCAUCUUUGCUUGACUAAGGCUCCGGAGGAAGCCACGGCUAACUCUGUGCCAGCAGCCGCGGUAAUACAGAGGCGGCAAGCGUUGUUCGGAAUUAUUGGGCGUAAAGAGCACGUAGGCGGCUAUGUAAGUCGGUUGUGAAAGCCUUCCGCUCAACGGGAGAACAGCAUCCGAUACUGCAUGGCUUGAGUGCGGGAGGGGAGAGUGGAACUUCUGGUGGAGCGGUGAAAUGCGUAGAUAUCAGAAGGAACGCCGGCGGCGAAAGCGGCUCUCUGGCCCAUAACUGACGCUGAGUGUGCGAGAGCUAGGGGAGCAAACGGGAUUAGAUACCCCGGUAGUCCUAGCCGUAAACGAUGGGCACUAAGUAGAGGGGUUUUAAUC